rnacentral:rRNA from 1 species
ACGGAAGGCAGCAGUGGGGAAUAUUGCACAAUGGGCGAAAGCCUGAUGCAGCGACGCCGCGUGAGUGAAGAAGUAUUUCGGUAUGUAAAGCUCUAUCAGCAGGGAAGAUAAUGACGGUACCUGACUAAGAAGCACCGGCUAAAUACGUGCCAGCAGCCGCGGUAAUACGUAUGGUGCAAGCGUUAUCCGGAUUUACUGGGUGUAAAGGGAGCGUAGACGGCAUGGCAAGUCUGAAGUGAAAGCCCGGGGCUUAACCCCGGGACUGCUUUGGAAACUGUUAAGCUAGAGUGCAGGAGAGGUAAGUGGAAUUCCUAGUGUAGCGGUGAAAUGCGUAGAUAUUAGGAGGAACACCAGUGGCGAAGGCGGCUUACUGGACUGUAACUGACGUUGAGGCUCGAAAGCGUGGGGAGCAAACAGGAUUAGAUACCCUGGUA